rnacentral:rRNA from 1 species
CCCUUAGACGCUCUAGGCGGCACGCGCGCUACAAUGGGUGGUAGAACGUGUAACUGCUCCCGAAAGGGAGGGUGAACCACGAAUACUUACCCGUGAAUGGGAUAGUUUGUUGCAAUUUUCGGACUUGAACUAGGAAUCCCUUGUAAGAAUGCUCAAGAAUAGCGUGCUGAAUACGUCCCUGCCGUUUGUACACACCGCCCGUCGUUUCUUCCGACUGAUACUCAUUGCGAGUUGCAAGGAUUCUUAUUGAAAAAUUGCUGCGAAUGCUUUGUAUUGGAGGAAGAAAAAGUCGUAACA